GACGAACGCUGGCGGCGUGCUUAACACAUGCAAGUCGAACGGAAAGGCCUCUUUCGGGGGGUACUCGAGUGGCGAACGGGUGAGUAACACGUGAGUAACCUGCCCUUGACUUUGGGAUAACUUCAGGAAACUGGGGCUAAUACCGGAUAGGAGCUCCUGCUGCCUGGUGGGGGUUGGAAAGUUUCGGCGGUUGGGGAUGGACUCGCGGCUUAUCAGCUUGUUGGUGGGGUAGUGGCUUUCCAAGGCUUUGACGGGUAGCCGGCCUGAGAGGGUGACCGGCCACAUUGGGACUGAGAUACGGCCCAGACUCCUACGGGAGGCAGCAGUGGGGAAUAUUGCACAAUGGGUGGAAGCCUGAUGCAGCAACGCCGUGUGCGGGAUGACGGCCUUCGGGUUGUAAACCGCUUUCGCUCAUGACGAAGCUUUGUGUGACGGUAGUGGGUAAAGAAGCACCGGCUAACUACGUG
rnacentral:rRNA from 1 species